CAAGAAGGUUGCUCACUAUUU
rnacentral:miRNA from 1 species